CAGAUUAAAGCUUUAUUUAUAGGAAGUUUUUUAUUUACAUUAAAAAGAUUAUUGUGCAAUUCUUUAUAGUCUGA
rnacentral:tRNA from 1 species